UACGAAGGGGGCUAGCGUUGUUCGGAAUUACUGGGCGUAAAGGGCGCGUAGGCGGUUCUUUAAGUCAGAAGUGAAAGCCCUGGGCUCAACCCGGGAAUUGCUUUUGAAACUAUUGGACUCGAGUAUAGGAGAGGUGAGUGGAAUACCCAGUGUAGAGGUAAAAUUCGUAGAUAUUGGGUGGAACACCAGUGGCGAAGGCGGCUCACUGGCCUAUUACUGACGCUGAGGCGCGAAAGCGUGGGGAGCAAACAGG
rnacentral:rRNA from 1 species